rnacentral:lncRNA from 1 species
ACUCUGGAAGUAGCAGAGUUGAGUGUCUAAAAUAUUAUUGGAAAUUGCUUUCCAGUGCUGUUUAUGUUCUCUGGCUUCAAGAACAGGCAGUGCAGUGUGAUGAGUGUCAACUAAUAAACAUGACAACUCCAAAAGGGAGUCAUGAAAUGACAGCAAAACAUCUGGAUCGUUUCUUCCUAGAACUUUUAUUGGUCUCUACUAGCAGCUGCAGUAAGAGAGGAGUUACCAGACAUCUCAAUGUUUUCAUCCUGAUCUGUCUCCAGAGGAGAUGCCUUCAAGACGCCUGCAUAUGCUGUUAUACACUUCUUACUGCAACUAAGUAAAUGAACUUAUCAUGGGCAUGAAAUUAUCAUAUUUCAUACAACAAGGGCCAGAAGUACUUAACGGGCACUUAAUGGUGCUAAGUACCCUUCUUGUGGUCUGUGCUCAGCGUUGAAUCGAUUGCCACUUAAAGGAAUAUGCCCCAUUGCUUUGUUACCAGGGUUUCUGAAGAAAGGCCAAGGUUGGUGUCAUGGGCCUGAAUUUGUCCACAGGCUCUGCACCUUCCUUCACA